GAGACACUGGCGCUUUAAGAAUGAGACUACAGUGUAGCAGUACUGUCGUCACAGUUCAACGUGAAAUUGUAUGGUAAACGAUUUUACUAUUUAUUGUACCGAAUCGCAUAAACCAAGGCAUUUGAUGUCGUUUACACGCGAAUAAGACAAGGGCCAAGAAAAUGAUCUGCAUUUUAUUGGUAGCUGGUCACGGCACUGUUCUAGAAACUCAGAUAAAGAAUGAUGCCACUGGUUUGUAUGGACAGCUGACUGGGGUGCCAAAGGCAUUGUUGCCUGGGAUAGGAGGAAAGAAAAUCCUGGACUUCUGGUGGGAGACGGUGAACACGCGGCAGUUGUUCAGUGAGGUCUAUCUGGUCACAAACGCAGACAAGUAUAAGCACUAUGAGCGCUGGGCAACGGCCAAUGACUUCCCUGUGGAGAAUGUAGUGAAUGACGGCAGCACAACCCUUGAGGGCCGGCUAGGAGCAGUGGCUGACCUGGAACUCGCCAUCCGCAGCCGCAAGCUGCAAGACGAUAUCAUGGUGAUUGCAGGGGAUAUGCUCUGUGCAGACCAGAACUUUGAUAUUGCUCAGGUUCUCCGCUUCUUCAGGUCCAAGCCUGGAGAGUUGGCCAUAUACUAUGAGCUAGAGGAGGGAGAGAAGAGCAGCUCCAGGGGUAUAGUGGAGGUAUGCCCUGAGACCCACAGGAUAUCUCGCUUUCUCGAGAAACCACAGGAGGGAGUGACAGCAUUGCGUCUGGCCAGUGUGGUGUUCUACUGCCUUCGCAAAGCCACACUGCCUUACCUCUCAGAUUUCCUCACCCUGCAGCCCCAAGCUCAAGACAGGACCUUCGGCAGGUUCUGGGAGUGGAUCAUCAAUGAGGAGAAGUUACCUGUGUUUGGCAUGAAACUGCCCACAGGGUUCCAGCUCAUUGGACAAGUGGGGCUGUCAGACUACACCAAGUGGCUUGCCCACUAUUCUGCCCAGCAACAGCAAUGCCCUGCCAAACCCAUAACAUGCCGCUCAUAUGCAAGAGUUGGACUGAUGGGGAACCCUUCUGACGGCUUCAAUGGAAAAACAAUCGCCAUGACUAUCUCCAACUUCUGGGCUGAGGUCACACUCAUGGAGAGCCAGGCCCUGGUUCUUCUGCCUCAUCCGCUCAAUGAUCCGACUGAAUUUGGAAGCUUGCAGGAUCUGUACUGUAUCAGCCGUAAGGAGGGGUACUUGGGAGGUCUACGGUUACUCCAGGCUACCUGUAAGAAGUUUUACCAAUUCUGCUCAAAACAAGGUAUCGCUUUGACAAAGCAGAACUUCACUCUCAAGUAUGAUACCAACAUUCCUCGCCAGGUGGGCCUGGCUGGAAGUAGUGCAAUAGUGUCUGCCACUCUGAAGUGUCUGAUGAAAUUCUACAACAUCACAGAAAGUGACCUUCCCAAACCCACCAGGGCCAACUUCAUCCUCAACGUCGAGACGGAUGAACUCUUCAUCACUGCUGGUCUUCAGGACAGAGUUGUGCAGGUCUAUGAGGGCUUGGUCUACAUGGACUUUAGCAAACAACUGAUGGAUGAACAGGGCUAUGGAGAUUACAUUCCUAUGGACAUGAGCAGCUUGCCACCGUUCUGGUUAGCUUAUCUGAGUGAUCCCAGUGACUCUGGUCGGAUUCACAGCAACGUCAGACAGCGCUGGCUCAACGGCAAGACACACACACACACACACACUGAGAAGCUGAAGUGGUUGAAGCCAUGAAGUCUUUUGCGGGGCUCACAGAUCAAGCCAGGGUUGCACUGCAGGGAAUGGACUGGAGCAGACUGGCACAGUUGAUGGAUGAGAACUUUGCACUGCGACUGUCUGUGUACACAGAAGACUGUUUGGGACCAGGCAAUCUCAAGAUGGUGCAACUGGCAAGACAGUUUGGCUCAGCUGCGAAACUACCUGGCAGUGGUGGUGCUGUAGUGGGCUUGUGUCUGGACCAAGUAAGACUGGUGGAGAUGAGGAGAGCGUUCCAAGAGGCUGGCUGUGUGUUCUGUGUGAUUGUGCCAUAUAACCCAUCUGGUACCAUUGGAACCAACAGCCAAGACUGAUUUUAAAUGAUCUAUAAUGAGCAUCUUAAUAAUCAAUCAAGUGUCAAAUCUGUAGCUAAGAUGACACAACAUAUUUUUCUGUUCAUGUGGGCAAAUUUGUAGCCCAUGAUUUCCUGUAUGAAUGGAUUAUGAUGAGACCGUUGUGCCUUGGUUUGAGUAUGUGCCCUGGCUUGAGUAAUUUUAUAAAUUGAACACAUUUGUAUUUUUAUGAACAUUGAAUAAAUAUGGUUUAUUAAUUUAUUAUGCAAA